GGCCAAUGAUGCAUUUGAAUGCACGUAUUAUCAGAUUAAAAGAUGAUGAUUCUGCAGAUUGUCACUACCUCUGAGGCC